rnacentral:lncRNA from 1 species
UGUCAAACACUGUUGCUGCGUCUCCAUCUGGAUUCUCUGCUGGCCUGUACUGAUGCAAUCAAAGGUAUGUUUUAAUAUUUUCCUUCAUGAACAAACAGAACUGAACCAACAGCAUGUAGAAUAGAGAUGAUACGUAGAAAAGUUACACAUGUUGGUAACCAACUAGGAGAAACUUAACAACAUAUGAUUGUACCGAAAUAUAAUAAAAUGGACAUUAUAUAAUAUAGCAUGCACUAAACUGUGUAAUUAUUCUUCAGCAAAUGAGACAUUUAACCAAGAUCUUUAUAACCAAUAACUAUAAGAAACGAAACUAGAUGUCCUCAGCAAAGUAAGAUUUGAU